AUGGCAAUAAUGUCGCCGACCUCCAUCUUCUUCUCUGUGAUCGUCUUCAUGCUCCUUUCCAAUGCCAUUACUACUCAAGCCGGUGGCUCUGGCAGUGGAAAACCUAAGGCAACAAGCCUCAUAGUGGAAGCGUGCAAGAACGCUUCGGGUGAGACCCAAGACCCCGAUGUCACAAAGGAAUUCUGUUUGUCGACCCUCCAAUCGGACAAGCGGAGUGCCGAGGCUAAAGACCUCCCUGGCUUGGUGCUCGUCUCCAUCGACAUCCUUAAGGGCCGUGUCACUGAUGCUAGUGUCAAGCUGCAAUAUGAGAACGUGGUGAGCACGCUCAACAUCUGCCAAGCCAUGAUUAAGGAUCACCAAGGUGACAAGGGCAUCCUGCACUCCUUGCGUCUGCCCCACUGUGUGGAUAUCGCCGGCGACACUUCCGACGAGUGCCAAACUGAUCUUGAAGAUGUGCCAGGGACGGAGGCGCUGCAAACUGAUAACGAGAGGCUGCGCAUUCUGUUCAACCUCAACACCGCCUUGGUUGUACCAUAUGAUGUCCGUGAUUAG
rnacentral:rRNA from 1 species